rnacentral:rRNA from 1 species
GUGAGGAAUAUUGGUCAAUGGGCGAGAGCCUGAACCAGCCAAGUCGCGUGAAGGAAGAAGGAUCUAUGGUUCGUAAACUUCUUUUGCAGGGGAAUAAAGUGCAGGACGUGUCCUGUUUUGUAUGUACCCUGAGAAUAAGGAUCGGCUAACUCCGUGCCAGCAGCCGCGGUAAUACGGAGGAUCCGAGCGUUAUCCGGAUUUAUUGGGUUUAAAGGGUGCGUAGGUGGUUUGAUAAGUCAGCGGUGAAAGUUUGCAGCUUAACUGCAAAAAUGCCGUUGAAACUGUCGGACUUGAGUGUAAAUGAGGUAGGCGGAAUGCGUGGUGUAGCGGUGAAAUGCAUAGAUAUCACGCAGAACUCCGAUUGCGAAGGCAGCUUACUAAGCUACAACUGACACUGAAGCACGAAAGCGUGGGGAUCAAACAGGAUUAGAAACCCCAGUAGUCC